ensembl:antisense 4930505O20Rik RIKEN cDNA 4930505O20 gene
AAGAUCGAGUGGAGAGUACUCUAGGGAACUUGUAGCUGUCCACCGACUUCUUGCCCAAGGUGACCCGAUGCUGGUGCCGACCAGAAGGUACUUGUGACCCAGGAUAGUGCUCUCUUAAGUUCCAGUUGAUGUCAAGACCACCUGUCCUAUCUGCAAUCCCAGAAAAUGAGCCUCCACUCUGGCAGGUGAGCUCAACCUCACUGGAUUAGACAUGGGUUUCUCAUCUUCCCAAAAAAGCCCCGCAGAUAACAGUCUUUCCAAAUAGGGUCAGCAAACUGCUCUAUAGCUGGAUGUCAGGAACCGAUAUAGGAAUAGUAGGAGAGAUAAUCAAACACUCCUCUGAGGUCUUUACCUCUUUGACAUCUCCCCUCAUAAAUGGCACUAACUUGUCAUUUCACCUUUUGCUUGACCUCGGCAUCUCAACAUCUUACUCUCACGAGGCCUGGAUGCUUUAAAGAUUUCUGGUUAUGUGUAUCCUUGGAACUAACUCACAAUUGUCACUUACAGCAUCUCUGGUGGUACUGCCAAGCAACCUUACCUCACCCUUUGUCAGCUGCCCUGACUCUGAUGUUGCCAUGACUCCAUACCUUACCUCUAUCCCUCUCUUUGGCAUGGCAAACUGUUUUAAGACCUCUGGGACUUAUCCUGUAGCACCGCUAAGCUCCCUAGACUGCAACAGAACCAUAACCCUCAAUAUAUCAUCUUUGCCGCAAUGUCCUGCAGUCCAGAACACAUCAAUUCUUUGUGGCACUCAGGUAUAUCAUCACCUACCCGCCAUCUGGUCAGGAGUUUGCAUGUUGGUACUCCUUUUCCCUGAACUGGGAGUAAUCCAGGGAAACGAGCCCCUGCCAAUCCCAGUUGUAGAUAUGAUAGCUGCUCAACAUAAGAGGGCAGUUCAAAUCACACCGCUCUUGGUUGCUAUGGGAAUAGCCAUAGGUGCUGGUACUGGAAUUGCAGGGAAAAUGACUUCUAUGACCCAAUAUAAUAUAUUCUCUUCCCAGUUUAAAAGCAAUCUUCAAGAAAUGACUGAAACUGUGCUUACUAUCCAGAAACAGAUCGAUUCUUUGGCAGCCGUGGUACUUCAGAACCGACAGGGGCUAGAUGUCCUGUCAGCUAAAGAAGGUGGUCUCUGCCUGUUCCUCCAAGAAGAAUGCUGUUUCUACAUCAACCAAUCUGGGAGGAUAGUGAGAAAUAAAAUCCAGGAGCUAUAGUCAGACAUCAAGAACUUCAGAGACUGUGAUACCUCCAACUCUGGGAUUUUUGAAAAUCCUAUAUGUGGAUACUGCCUUUUGUAACACCUUUCCUAGUCAUCUUCCUGGCGUUAUUUGCUCCCUGCCUCAUUAAUCUUGUUUCUACAUUCCUUCAAGGAGAAAUAUUAAUCAGCUCCUUUUACAGGAUUACCAGCUACUGCCCACAGAAGAUCCUCUGUCCACAGAGGAACCUGAAGCGACCAUUUAUCAAGUGGAUCCUGAUGGUGAUAGCCAGCUAUACCCCAAAAUUGACGGUUGCCCCUAGACAGCAGGAAGCAGCUUAAGAGACACGACACCUUCGUUCCCUUUUCACCAUUGGCUUCCCUCUCCCCUUUUCUUCCCUUCUCUUUAUAAUAAGAAGGGAGGUCGUUGGCAUCAGGACAUUCCAAACCUAUGACAUCACAUAGGUGACAAUGGGAUCUGUUGCUGUUGAGAUGCGACCCUUCAUUCUAACACAUCAGUAUGUACUCAUUUUCCAGGAUCAACAGUUAAUAAAUGAUAUGAAUGC